AGUACUUACCGAUCUGUUCCAAAACUUUUCUUUUCGGACCACUACGGCUGCUGUACUCUCGUCCAUGAUCUUCUCCUCUCCGUUAUUCUCUAUUUCUCGGAGACUUUUUGGUGCUUUUGUUGUGCUACGUUCUCCUUCACUGAAUAAUGACAAUUUCUGAUGUUCUUAUUGGUUGUUUUCACCUUUGAAGCACUCUCUACAGAGCUAUACCAAAAAUUCUCAGGU